AUCGGAAGUGCGAAUGCUGACAUGAGUAGCGAUAAAAGGGAGUGAAAGACUCCCUCGCCGAAAACCCAAGGUUUCCUGUGCAACGUUAAUCGGCGCAGGGUGAGUCGGCCCCUAAGGUGAGGCAGAAAUGCGUAACUGAUGGGAAACUGGUUAAAAUUCCAGUACCUUUGUUCAAUGCGAUGUGGGGACGAAGAAGGUUAGCUCAGCCGGGUGUUGGAUGUCCCGGUUCAAGCGUGUAGAUAUGCUGUUUAGGUAAAUCCGAAUGGCUUAGUUGAGACGUGAUAACGCAACACUCUUAGGAGUGCCAAGUGAGUGAUACCAUGCUUUCAGGAAAAGCCACUAAGCUUCAGUUGAAUAGAGACCGUACCGUAAACCAACACAGGUGGGUAGGAUGAGAAUUCUAAGGCGCUUGAGAGAACUCAGGAGAAGGAACUCGGCAAAAUAGCACCGUAACUUCGGGAAAAGGUGUGCCCUUGUAUGUGUAGCGCCUAGCGCGUGAAGCAGAAUAGGGUUGCGAAUGAAUUGGUGG
rnacentral:rRNA from 1 species